AUUUUACAGAGGUUUUUGUUGCUGCAACACGGUAGUUUGUUUGGUGUGUUUUGCUGUUCUCGCCUCCUGACGCAUUAAUUCAGCGUGUUUUCCAGCAGAUCAUUGAGAGAUCUCAGGUCUAGAAGACGACAGCUCAAGUGUACUGCUUGCUGACUGCUGUUUUAUUAUGUCUGUCCGGAUGCUUGAGCACAACAGAUGCUACUCGAAGUAAAGCCUCAGCAAAGCCAGGAGAGUGUCCACCCGAAAAACCUGUGGGAGGAUCAUGUGCCAGGUCCUGUACUGGUGACUCUGACUGUCCAGACAAUGAGAAGUGCUGCAGCAAUGGACGUGGACAUCGCUGUACGGCUCCAUAUACAGUGAAGCCUGGUCGGUGUCCCACACCAAAGAAGAUUCCAGCGUGUGCUU